ensembl:lncRNA
GGGGUCAGAGUGCCAUAUGGAUGAAGGGCAAAAAAGACAGAAUGUCUGAGCAAGCCGUGCGCUCUGCUCGCCCCGAGAUCACUCAGAAGCAGCACGAACUCUUGAGCAGGUUUUCUCAUGUUCUCACCCAGGCUGCUUUGGUGACAUCAGGGCCAGGGUAAGGCUGGGAUAGCUGAGAUCACACAGCCAAGAAGGAAGCAGCCGGUGAAAGAUCUGGAGCAGGAGUCUGAUGGGGAGCAGCUGAUGGAGCUGGGAUGGGUCAGUGUGGAAAAGAAGAGGCUCAGGAGAGACCUUAUUGCACUCCACAGCUCCUUGAAAGGAGGUUAUGGUGAGGUGGGGGUCGGCCUCUGAUCCCAGCAUAGCCUUAGGAUGGGGAAGUGCCAUGCUGAGGACCACACUGCGGAUUGCUCUGACUGGGUUUCUUCUUGUUGGCCCACACAUGAGCCGGAGCAUCUGCUGCAGCCCCUGCCCUGAGCCAGAGGAGGGGGCACAGCAGACGUAACUCCUGCUCAGAAGUUGAGCCCACGAUCCCACGUUGCUGCAGCUGAUCUCUAUUUUCCCUAAACUCUACAGACAGCGUCUUCAGAACUUAAUUUGAUUUUGAUUGAUUUUUUGAAACUUGAAACACUUCUAAACUAAUUUUCAGUAUAUUACUCUUGUCAACUCUUAAAGAUUUUGUCAGUAAGAAUUUGCUGAACAGACACAGUAAUUUUGUUUCUCAUUUUGGCAGAUCACCCCUAAAGAGGAAAGUGGGCAGGAGGGGGUGUUAUUAUAGCUGCAGUUAUUAGAAUAUACAUUGCAAUUACCUUGCUCCUAUUUGUGGGUCGUUUAAGAGCAAUUUCUGAGUGCAGCCACUAGGAGCUCAACCUGCACGGUUGUGUGAUGCCAUCUAAAAGGAGCCUCAUUCUUUGCUUGUUGCUCCUCUCUCAGAGUGAUUUUUAGCUUUGAGGGGUGUCCAUGUUGGAAGUUGGGUUCUGUGAUCCUUGAGGACCACCUUGAAGACACGGCCCGGCGUGGGCAUGGCCUAACCCUGUGUUCACACCUGAGAAGACAGAGAUGGUGGGUGGGAAGGGAUGGGAGAUGUUGUCAGGCAGAGCUGGAGCUGGAUCCAGGGCUCAAUGGAAUCUGGCAUGAUACAUCUCUGCUUUCUGAACCACGCAGGUGACUGGGGGGAGGGAGAGAUGGAGAUCUGUGUAAAUUUAGCUGUACAACACUGUGUGGGGCAGCAUUAAAGAAAAUCUGUUUUAUAUGUAACCUCUUCAACCAGAGAUGGCAUUUUUUUAGGGCUUAGCAAUAGGAAAAGCCUACUGACUUGUUUUCUGAGUGCACACUCGGGACAUCCCAUUUUACAUACGAAGCAAGUGCAGAGCAUGGUAUCUGAUAUCCCUCAUCUUCAGGAUCUUCAGGAAAGUCCACCAUUACCUGCAUCUGAAGCAGCACCUUCCUUGCAGCAGCAGAGUCAGGCAGAGAACCACUCCUUGCAGAAACUGUCCUGGAAACUCUUGUUCCACCCACCAGGGACUUCAGCCCUGCACACGGGCUAAGGAAGGGAGUCUGUACCACUGCCAGUGCCAGCACCGUCUGGGGGCUCCUGCAAAUGUCAUCCUCACUGCUGCUAACUGACUGUGAAAUUCAACCAAGCGAGCUGUUUUCCCCUGCAUGAACAACAACACGAGGAAGAAAUCAAGGUGAAAUGGGACACCUGGUCUACAGGGAGCAAGAGAAGAGAGGAGGAGGUUGUUGGAAGAUAAACUUCCUGGCUGGUGAAAAUCGAGACGGGGAUGAAGCACGGAGAGGGGGUGCCCACCACUGGUGCAGGAGGACCUGCUCAGCAUUCUGUCUUCACACUUCCAUCACUUGCAUCUCUCAUCAGUUAUCAUCAUGGAGCUGGUCGAUAUUGAAAUGAAACUGCCAGGGGAUCGAUAACAGAAUUGCUGAGGAGCCUUCUGGAAGGAUGACAUUCUUCUCAUUUUGUGGGCACGGAGGAUGAAUCAGGGUGGGGGGAUGUGGGGGAGCGGUGCAUGCUCAGGCAUUUGCCACUUCAGAGAACUUUACAGAACAUCCAGCCUUAACAAGUUACCCUGUGUGUCACUGACCAGUUUGCAAGCCCUCCAGUGGGGCCUGCUGCUUUCUCUGCUUCUAAGAGCUGCCACAACAGCCUGGGUAGAUAAAGAUAUGUGGAUAGGUUAGGUAAGACUGGGUUGAGUUAGUAAACACGAGUACUAAAGGUGCAUUUGUGCUCGUGGGGUUUAAUUGUAUUUUUAUCGUGUAAAUGGGGAAGACACGAUGCCUGCCUACAGCAGUGGGUUUCACAUCUUGCACUGUGUUGACUCCCUGCAUUUUUCCCCAGGAGAGGCAUAGACCCCACACAGCAGAUGUCAGCACUGUC